GGGUUGUGAGGUUAAGCGACUAAGCGUACACGGUGGAUGCCUAGGCAGUCAGAGGCGAUGAAGGGCGUGCUAAUCUGCGAAAAGCGUCGGUAAGGUGAUAUGAACCGUUAUAACCGACGAUACCCGAAUGGGGAAACCCAGUGCAAUUCGUUGCACUAUUGCAUGGUGAAUACAUAGCCAUGCAAGGCGAACCGGGGGAACUGAAACAUCUAAGUACCCCGAGGAAAAGAAAUCAACCGAGAUUCCCCCAGUAGCGGCGAGCGAACGGGGAGGAGCCCAGAACCUGAAUCAGCAUAUGUGUUAGUGGAAGCGUCUGGAAAGUCGCACGGUACAGGGUGAUAGUCCCGUACACAAAAAUGCAUACGUUGUGAGUUCGAUGAGUAGGGCGGGACACGUGACAUCCUGUCUGAAUAUGGGGGGACCAUCCUCCAAGGCUAAAUACUCCUGACUGACCGAUAGUGAACCAGUACCGUGAGGGAAAGGCGAAAAGAACCCCGGCGAGGGGAGUGAAACAGAACCUGAAACCGUGUACGUACAAGCAGUGGGAGCACCUUCGUGGUGUGACUGCGUACCUUUUGUAUAAUGGGUCAGCGACUUAUAUUUUGUAGCAAGGUUAACCGAAUAGGGGAGCCGUAGGGAAACCGAGUCUUAACUGGGCGAAUAGUUGCAAGGUAUAGACCCGAAACCCGGUGAUCUAGCCAUGGGCAGGUUGAAGGUUGGGUAACACUAACUGGAGGACCGAACCGACUAAUGUUGAAAAAUUAGCGGAUGACUUGUGGCUGGGGGUGAAAGGCCAAUCAAACCGGGAGAUAGCUGGUUCUCCCCGAAAGCUAUUUAGGUAGCGCCUCGUGAACUCAUCUUCGGGGGUAGAGCACUGUUUCGGCUAGGGGGUCAUCCCGACUUACCAAACCGAUGCAAACUCCGAAUACCGAAGAAUGUUAUCACGGGAGACACACGGCGGGUGCUAACGUCCGUCGUGAAGAGGGAAACAACCCAGACCGCCAGCUAAGGUCCCAAAGUCAUGGUUAAGUGGGAAACGAUGUGGGAAGGCACAGACAGCCAGGAUGUUGGCUUAGAAGCAGCCAUCAUUUAAAGAAAGCGUAAUAGCUCACUGGUCGAGUCGGCCUGCGCGGAAGAUGUAACGGGGCUAAACCAUGCACCGAAGCUGCGGCAGCGAACGUAUCACCCAAGACAAUUCACGGCAGUGGAUAAUGAUUGACGGAGCGCAGCGACGUCAAUGCGUCCAAUAAAGUCGAGUUGGCUUAGGGAUACGUUCGUUGGGUAGGGGAGCGUUCUGUAAGCCGUUGAAGGUGACCUGUGAGGGUUGCUGAAGGUAUCAGAAGUGCGAAUGCUGACAUAAGUAACGAUAAUGCGGGUGAAAAACCCGCACGCCGGAAGACCAAGGGUUCCUGUCCAACGUUAAUCGGGGCAGGGUGAGUCGACCCCUAAGGCGAGGCUGAAAAGCGUAGUCGAUGGGAAACAGGUUAAUAUUCCUGUACUUGGUGUUACUGCGAAGGGGGGACGGAGAAGGCUAGGCUAGCCGGGCGACGGUUGUCCCGGUUUAAGCAUGUAGGCGGAGUGACUUGGUAAAUCCGGUUGCUUAUCAACGCUGAGGUGUGAUGACGAGUCACUACGGUGAUGAAGUAGUUGAUGCCAAGCUUCCAGGAAAAGCCUCUAAGCAUCAGGUAACAUUAAAUCGUACCCCAAACCGACACAGGUGGUCAGGUAGAGAAUACUCAGGCGCUUGAGAGAACUCGGGUGAAGGAACUAGGCAAAAUGGUGCCGUAACUUCGGGAGAAGGCACGCUGGCAUUAGGUAAAGGGACUUGCUCCCGGCGCCGAAGCCAGUCGCAGAUACCAGCUGGCUGCAACUGUUUAAUAAAAACACAGCACUGUGCAAACACGAAAGUGGACGUAUACGGUGUGACGCCUGCCCGGUGCUGGAAGGUUAAUUGAUGGGGUCAGCCUUACGGCGAAGCUCUUGAUCGAAGCCCCAGUAAACGGCGGCCGUAACUAUAACGGUCCUAAGGUAGCGAAAUUCCUUGUCGGGUAAGUUCCGACCUGCACGAAUGGCGUAAUGAUGGCCAGGCUGUCUCCACCCGAGACUCAGUGAAAUUGAACUCGCUGUGAAGAUGCAGUGUACCCGCGGCAAGACGGAAAGACCCCGUGAACCUUUACUAUAGCUUGACACUGAACAUUGAGCCUUGAUGUGUAGGAUAGGUGGGAGGCAUUGAAGUGUGGACGCCAGUCUGCAUGGAGCCAACCUUGAAAUACCACCCUUUAAUGUUUGAUGUUCUAACUCGGCCCCAUAAUCUGGGGUGAGGACAGUGUCUGGUGGGUAGUUUGACUGGGGCGGUCUCCUCCCAAAGAGUAACGGAGGAGCACGAAGGUUAGCUAAUCACGGUCGGACAUCGUGAGGUUAGUGCAAAGGCAUAAGCUAGCUUGACUGCGAGAGUGACGGCUCGAGCAGGUACGAAAGUAGGUCUUAGUGAUCCGGUGGUUCUGAAUGGAAGGGCCAUCGCUCAACGGAUAAAAGGUACUCCGGGGAUAACAGGCUGAUACCGCCCAAGAGUUCAUAUCGACGGCGGUGUUUGGCACCUCGAUGUCGGCUCAUCACAUCCUGGGGCUGAAGUAGGUCCCAAGGGUAUGGCUGUUCGCCAUUUAAAGUGGUACGCGAGCUGGGUUUAGAACGUCGUGAGACAGUUCGGUCCCUAUCUGCCGUGGGCGUUGGAAGAUUGAGAGGGGCUGCUCCUAGUACGAGAGGACCGGAGUGGACGAAUCACUGGUGUUCGGGUUGUCAUGCCAAUGGCAUUGCCCGGUAGCUAAAUUCGGAAGAGAUAACCGCUGAAAGCAUCUAAGCGGGAAACUUGCCUCGAGAUGAGUCUUCCCUGGGGCUUUAAGCCCCCUGAAGGAACGUUAAAGACUAUGACGUUGAUAGGCUGGGUGUGUAAGUGCAGCGAUGCAUUGAGCUAACCAGUACUAAUGAUCCGUGAGGCUUAACCUUACAACACCAAAGGUGUUUUG
rnacentral:rRNA from 1 species